UACGAAGGGGGGCUAGCGUUGCUCGGAAUUACUGGGCGUAAAGGGCGCGUAGGCGGCCUGGCAAGUCGAUGGUGAAAGCCCGAGGCUCAACUUCGGGUCGGCCACUGAUACUGCUGGGCUUGAGUCGACUAGAGGCAGAUGGAAUUCCGGGUGUAGCGGUGGAAUGCGUAGAGAUCCGGAAGAACACCGGUGGCGAAGGCGGUCUGCUGGGGUCGAACUGACGCUGAGGCGCGACAGCGUGGGGGAGCGAACAGG
rnacentral:rRNA from 1 species